rnacentral:rRNA from 1 species
AUUGAACGCUGGCGGCAGGCCUAACACAUGCAAGUCGAGCGGAGCGGAGGACGGGUGAGUAAUUCCUAGGAAUCUGCCUGGCAGCGGGGGAUAACGUCCGGAAACGGGCGAUAAUACCGCAUACUAUCAGAUGAGCCUAGGGCGGAUUAGACAGUUGGUUGGGUAAAGGCCUACCAAGGCGACGAUCCGUAACUGGUCUGAGAGGAUGAUCAGUCACACUGGAACUGAGACACGGUCCAGACUCCUACGGGAGGCAGCAGUGGGGAAUAUUGGGCAAUGGGCGAAAGCCUGAUCCAGCCAUGCCGCGUGUGUGAAGAAGGUCUUCGGAUUGUAAAGCACUUUAAGUUGGGAGGCGUUACCAACAGAAUAAGCACCGGCUAACUUCGUGCCAGCAGCCGCGGUAAUUC